CCUCCUGCCCCCCACGUUUCCUUCCUGCUGGGGGGCUUCUGUUCUCCCAGACCGGGUCGGUGCUCUUUUCCCCCGGCGCCCCUCCCCCACCCAGCCCGGGCCUUGCCUGCCGCAGCCACCUUCUUCUCUGAUGCUGUGUUCUGGACUUGGUGACAAUGGCAACUUGACAAGAAGGCGAGCCUGGGCCUUUCCUGCGGCGACAUCCAGCUUCCCCCGCCCCUCCCUGGGUGGGUGCCCACCACACGCCCAGCCUGCCGCGUGCUUAUCCAGGCCCUCCAGGCCAGGCCUCCGGGUCUUAUGGAAGAAGGCCCCGUGUCUGGGCAGUGCCGUGGCUGUGAGUGAGCAUCCGGGGCCAGUCAGAUGUGCCGUCUCCGGAGGUCACUUCCACAGUGGCCAUCAACAGCUUGGCCAAACUCGGCCGCAGGAUCUUUUCCUAUCAAUUGCAGGAUGGACUCUUCCCGCAGCCAUGCGACCUGUGGCCCGCGGUCCUGCUCCCUGAGCUGGAGGAGGCUGAACAGAACGAGCAGGUUGAGGCCUGUGGGAAGGAAGAGCCACAUCUCCUUCAUGUUUAUUACCCGCUCCGCAGGCCAUACCUAGGAGGACUUGAAGGUUUUUUUAAGGGGGAAAGGGGGUUUCCAGAACCACAGCCGGCUCAGCAGAAAGUCUCCACCAACAGAAUCUGUGGGCGCACAUUCCUCAACAGCUGAAGAAGGGGCUGGAGGGGCUCAUGGCAUCCCCUCCAGAGGCAGGCCCAGGGCCCUGUGUGCAGUGGGGGGUCCUGCAUCUGCAUUGUUGUUAAGAAAGUGACAUUUGGCUACAUGGAGUGGCUCAUCCCUGUAAUCCCAGCACUUUGGGAGGCUGAAGCUGUCAGAUUGCUUGGGCCCAGGAGUUCGAGAUCAGCCUGGGCAACUUGGUGAAACCUCAUUUCUUUUUUUUGAGACAGGGUCUCACUCCGUAGCCAAGACUGGAGUGCAGUGGCACAAUCUCGGCUCACCGCAACCUCCACUUCCCAGGCUCAAGUGAUUCUCCUGACUCAGCCUCCCGAGUAGCUGGGAUUACAGGUGUGCACCACCACGCCCGGCUGAUUUUUGUAUUGUUAGUAGAGACGGGGUUUCACCAUGUUGGCCAGGUUGGUGUUGAACUCCUGACUUCAAAUGAUCCACCUGCCUCGGCCUCCCAAAGUGCUGGGAUUACAGGCCUGAGCCACCGCGCCCAGACUUUUUUUUUUUUGAGAUGGAGUUUCUCUCUGUCACCCAGGCUGGAGUGUGGUGGCACGAUCUUGGCUCACUGCAACCUCCACCUCCCAGGGUCAAGUGAUUCUCCUGGGUCAGCCUCCGGAGUAGCUGGGAUUACAGGAAGUCUUUUUUGAUGCUCUUGCAUCUGGGGCUGACCCAACACUGCUCAUCCCAUGUGGUCAUUGCUGGCUUACAGCAGCCAGAGGACCACUCCUGUCUCCCUGUAUAUGCUGAUUUGCUGGAGUUUCUGGCCAGAAAGAAUCAUAUAGGCUGUCCAUAAAACGGCUAGAGAGGUGGGUAAAGUUUACCCUACAGAAGACAAGGCUCAGGGGAACAGGAGAGCUGCCUUUGAAUAUUUAGAGGACUGUCCCUUGGGAGUAGGCAAGGACACCCCUCCUGAGCCUCAUGGCUCCACAGGUGGACCAAGAACCAGUGGCAGAAGUACCAGGGAGGCAGAUGGUUUCUUGAGGCUCAAGCUGCCUGCUGGUUUCAGACACCUUCUCUUCUGGGGCUUCUGCCAAAUGGUAAAUGGAACCCGAUUUUUUUGCAAACUUACAUUUUUAGUUCUGAAAUUGUUGAUGACUCCAAACAUUUUUAUAAUUAACAAAGUGUCUUGGCUGGGCAUGAUGGCUUAGGCCUGAAAUCCCAGUGCUUUGGGAGGUCAGGGUGGGAGGAUCACUUGAGGCCAGGAGUUCCACACUAGCCUAGGCAACAUGGUGAGACUCUGUCUCUACAAAAAGUUGUUUAAAAAAGUAGCCAGAAGUGGUGAUGCACGUCUAUGGUCUCAGCUACUCGGAAGGCUGAGGUAGGAGGAUUGCUUGAGGCAGGGAGUUUGAGGCUGCAGUGAGCUGUGAUCUUGCCACUACAUUCCAGUCUGGGUAGCAGAAAGAAACCCUGUCUGUAAACGAACAAACAAAUCAACAAAGCAUCUUUUUUUAAAAAAUAAUUUUAUACUUAAACAUAUUAAAAAUUAUAUUAUUGUAAUAGAGAUAGGGUCUCACUGUGUUGCCCAGGCUGAUCUCAAACUCCUGGGCUCAAGCCGUCCUCCUAUCUUGGCCUCCCAAAAUUCUGGAGUUAUAGGUGCAAGCCAACAUACCUGGCCAACAAAGUGUCUUUUGAAUGAAAGCAAAACAGUCAUAGUCACAAAUGACACAGAGAUUUUUUUUUUUUUUUUGAGACGGAGUCUCGCUGUCACCCAGGCUGGAGUGCAGUGGCACGAUCUUGGCUCACUGCAAGCUCCACCUCCCAGGUCACGCCAUUCUCCUGCCUCAGCCUCCUAAGUAGCUGGGACUACAGGCACCCACCACCAUGCCCAGCUAAUUUUUGUAUUUUUAGUAGAGAUGGGGUUUCACCGUGUUAGCAAGGAUGGUCUCGAUUUCCUGACCUCGUGAUCCACCCGCCUUGGCCUCCCAAAGUGCUGGGAUUACAGGCGUGAGCCACCACACCCGGCCGACACAGAGAUAUUUAUGAUGGGAAGUAACACUGUGCCCCGAACCUCCCCACCCCAGUUUUUCUUCCCAGAGUCUCCCCAAGAGCUGCUUCCUUUGACUCCUGCUGUGUGUAGUUCUGCUGACAAUGACCUGGACAGCUCUGCGCCAUGCACAGCGUCUCUCUUCUCCGAUUUACCACAUUUUAGACACUAUUGACUCCUUCGUGUGAAAGAUGGGAAUUCAGCUACAUCACAUCACCCUACAAACUUUAUUGUUAAUAUUUCUUCCCGGUCAGCCCCAAACACUGAAUGUAAAUACGGUCCAACAUCAACCUGCAAACGAACACUGACAUGAAAGCGCGGUUGGAAAGGAUCUCGCAAAGGAACAGAAUCUUGUGAUCCUAAUCGUAAUGAACGUGAUCGCCGGGUAUUGAGAGCUUGCAGGUACCAGGGCUCCGGCACUAUGUGUUUCACAGGGGCCACUUGGUAGACCUCAUGGUGACCUUGAGGUCAGGUACCACGUUCCCAUUUUACAGAGGAGGAAACUGAGAUAUCCUAUGACAGCGAAAAGGUAGCAGAGCUGGGACUGGUGCCCAGGCUCGCCGAGUGGAAAAGCCCUCGGCCACCGUGGAGAGCUCGCUGCUUGUGGUCUGAAGCGUCGCCCCUGCACCGGCUUCUGCUGCCAAGGGUGGCUUUUCCUCACCGGUGCCCACCUAUGCUCACUCGUGUCAUGUGGUUAAGCCCUUUUGGCAACAUAAGACCUUUCCCAAGAAUGUGCCUCGGUGCAGAGGAAGACGGUGGGGGCAGGCCCCCUCCCCAGGAUGCUCCACCCUCCCUGACCUCACACGGGUGCAACCUGGGCCGUGGCCGAGACCUGCUGUGCGGCAGACAAUGGGAAGCCUGUGUGUCGUCCUGGGUGCCGGAAUUAGACAAUAUUUAGCUUUCCCUUGGUGGAAAAGCCUUUCCCCUCCUGCUUUGGGCAGAAACUAGAGGUUCCUGUUGGGCGGGGCCUGGCUGCUGCCCCACCCCCGCCCGGCCGGGCACCUUGACCGGCAGCUCUCCGGGCUGCUCCCUGCCUGUGUCCCUGAGCACUGACUCCAGAGGUUUAAUCAUUAACGGGCACGUUUGGCCUUCGGUCGUGGGCUGGAAUUUGGGACCUGUGCCCGGGAACAAUGAUCUCCAACACAUUAUUUUGUGUAAAAUCACUUUUAGCUGCCAUUAGCUAAUAAAGCUGGAAUAAAGUGAGGUCCAUUAACCA